UUUACUUCCCAGCCUUUUAGCUAAGAUCCAGUGUAGUAUCUUUUCUUAUCAGUUUAAUAUCUGAUACAUCCUCUAUCUGAGGAUAAUAUAUUAAAUGGAUUUUUGGAGCAGGGAGAUGGAAUAGAGCUUGCUCCAUCCAUUUCACGCAUCAAACACAUAUUGCAGUACCUACAGGGACGGUACACCAAAA
rnacentral:snRNA from 1 species